GAUGAACGCUAGCUACAGGCUUAACACAUGCAAGUCGAGGGGUAACGAGAGGGAAGCUUGCUUUCCUUGUCGACGACCGGCGCACGGGUGAGUAACGCGUAUCCAACCUGCCCCCAACUAGGGAAUAACCUUGCGAAAGUAAGACUAAUACCCUAUAAUUUCCUCAGAUGUCAUCUGACGAGGAAUAAAGAUUUAUCGGUUGUGGAUGGGGAUGCGUCUGAUUAGCUUGUUGGCGGGGUAACGGCCCAUCAUGGCAACGAUCAGUAGGGGUUCUGAGAGGAAGGUCCCCCACAUUGGAACUGAGACACGGUCCAAACUCCUACGGGAGGCAGCAGUGAGGAAUAUUGGUCAAUGGGCGGAAGCCUGAACCAGCCAAGUAGCGUGCAGGAUGACGGCCCUAUGGGUUGUAAACUGCUUUUAUACAGGAAUAAAGUUAGCCACGUGUGGUUAUUUGUAGGUACUGUAUGAAUAAGGACCGGCUAAUUCCGUGCCAGCAGCCGCGGUAA
rnacentral:rRNA from 1 species